rnacentral:rRNA from 1 species
CCCCGGUAAACGGCGGCCGUAACUAUAACGGUCCUAAGGUAGCGAAAUUCCUUGUCGGGUAAGUUCCGACCUGCACGAAUGGCGUAAUGAUGGCCAGGCUGUCUCCACCCGAGACUCAGUGAAAUUGAACUCGCUGUGAAGAUGCAGUGUACCCGCGGCAAGACGGAAAGACCCCGUGAACCUUUACUAUAGCUUGACACUGAACAUUGAGCCUUGAUGUGUAGGAUAGGUGGGAGGCUUUGAAGUGUGGACGCCAGUCUGCAUGGAGCCGACCUUGAAAUACCACCCUUUAAUGUUUGAUGUUCUAACGUGGACCCGUAAUCCGGGUUGCGGACAGUGUCUGGUGGGUAGUUUGACUGGGGCGGUCUCCUCCUAAAGAGUAACGGAGGAGCACGAAGGUUGGCUAAUCCUGGUCGGACAUCAGGAGGUUAGUGCAAUGGCAUAAGCCAGCUUGACUGCGAGCGUGACGGCGCGAGCAGGUGCGAAAGCAGGUCAUAGUGAUCCGGUGGUUCUGAAUGGAAGGGCCAUCGCUCAACGGAUAAAAGGUACUCCGGGGAUAACAGGCUGAUACCGCCCAAGAGUUCAUAUCGACGGCGGUGUUUGGCACCUCGAUGUCGGCUCAUCACAUCCUGGGGCUGAAGUAGGUCCCAAGGGUAUGGCUGUUCGCCAUUUAAAGUGGUACGCGAGCUGGGUUUAGAACGUCGUGAGACAGUUCGGUCCCUAUCUGCCGUGGGCGCUGGAGAACUGAGGGGGGCUGCUCCUAGUACGAGAGGACCGGAGUGGACGCAUCACUGGUGUUCGGGUUGUCAUGCCAAUGGCACUGCCCGGUAGCUAAAUGCGGAAGAGAUAAGUGCUGAAAGCAUCUAAGCACGAAACUUGCCCCGAGAUGAGUUCUCCCUGAGACUUAGAGUCUCCUGAAGGAACGUUGAAGACGACGACGUUGAUAGGCCGGGUGUGUAAGCGCAGCGAUGCGUUGAGCUAACCGGUACUAAUGAACCGUGAGGCUUAACC